CCCAGACUCCUACGGGAGGCAGCAGUGGGGGAUAUUGCACAAUGGGGGAAACCCUGAUGCAGCGACGCCGCGUGGGCGAAGAAGUAUUUCGGUAUGUAAAGCCCUAUCAGCAGGGAAGAAGAAAUGACGGUACCUGAGUAAGAAGCACCGGCUAAAUACGUGCCAGCAGCCGCGGUAAUACGUAUGGUGCAAGCGUUAUCCGGAUUUACUGGGUGUAAAGGGAGCGUAGGUGGCAGGGCAAGUCUGAUGUGAAAACCCGGGGCUCAACCCCGGGAGUGCAUUUGAAACUGUCCAGCUGGAGUGCAGGAGAGGUAAGCGGAAUUCCUAGUGUAGCGGUGAAAUGCGUAGAUAUUAGGAGGAACACCAGUGGCGAAGGCGGCUUACUGGACUGUAACUGACGUUGAGGCUCGAAAGCGUGGGGAGCAAACAGGAUUAGAUACCCCGGUAC
rnacentral:rRNA from 1 species